rnacentral:rRNA from 1 species
UUCGGGGGUACACGAGUGGCGAACGGGUGAGUAACACGUGAGCAACCUGCCCUUGACACUGGAAUAACAGUUGGAAACAGCUGCUAAUGCCGGAUAUGACCUCUGGUGACAUCACCUGGAGGUGGAAAGUGCUUAGCGGUCAAGGAUGGGCUCGCGGCCUAUCAGCUAGUUGGUGAGGUAACGGCUCACCAAGGCUUCGACGGGUAGCCGGCCUGAGAGGGCGACCGGCCACACUGGGACUGAGAUACGGCCCAGACUCCUACGGGAGGCAGCAGUGGGGAAUAUUGCACAAUGGGCGCAAGCCUGAUGCAGCAACGCCGCGUGCGGGAUGACGGCCUUCGGGUUGUAAACCGCUUUCAGUUCCGACGAAGCGCAAGUGACGGUAGGAACAGAAGAAGGACCGGCCAACUACGUGCCAGCAGCCGCGGUGAUACGUAGGGUCCGAGCGUUGUCCGGAAUUAUUGGGCGUAAAGGGCUUGUAGGCGGUUCGUCACGUCGGAAGUGAAAACUCAGGGCUUAACCCUGAGCCUGCUUCCGAUACGGGCGAACUAGAGGAAUGCUGGGGAGAAUGGAAUUCCUGGUGGAGCGGUGGAAUGCGCAGAUAUCAGGAGGAACACCGGUGGCGAAGGCGGUUCUCUGGGCAUUUCCUGACGCUGAGAAGCGAAAGCGUGGGGAGCAAACAGGCUUAGAUACCCUGGUAGUCCACGCCGUAAACGGUGGGCACUAGGUGUGGGGGAACAUUCCACGUUCUCCGUGCCGAAGCUAACGCAUUAAGUGCCCCCCUGGGGAGUACGGCCGCAAGGCUAAAACUCAAAGGAAUUG